GGGGGGGGCGGGGGGGGGGGUGGGGGCAGGCGGGUGGGGCGGGAGGGCCCUGCUGGGGUGGGGGGCUCGAGUGGCGAGCGGGUGGGUAACACGUGAGUAACCUGCCCUGGACGUUGGGAUAACUUCAGGAAACUGGGGCUACUACCGGAUAGGAGCUCCUGCUGCCUGGUGGGGGUUGGAAAGUUUCGGCGGUUGGGGAUGGACUCGCGGCUUAUCAGCUUGUUGGUGGGGUAGUGGCUUACCAAGGCUUUGACGGGUAGCCGGCCUGAGAGGGUGACCGGCCACAUUGGGACUGAGAUACGGCCCAGACUCCUACGGGAGGCAGCAGUGGGGAAUAUUGCACAAUGGGCGGAAGCCUGAUGCAGCAACGCCGCGUGCGGGAUGACGGCCUUCGGGUUGUAAACCGCUUUCGCCUGUGACGAAGCGUGAGUGACGGUAAUGGGUAAAGAAGCACCGGCUAACUACGUG
rnacentral:rRNA from 1 species